GAAAUUCGAUAAUUAAUUUUAAUUUCAUCAUUCAUUUAAUCAUCGAAUCUUUGAACGCACCUUGCGCUCCUUGGUAUUCCUUGGAGCAUGCCUGUUUGAGUAUCAUGAAAUCUUCAAAGUAAAUCUUUUGUUAACUCAAUUGGUUUCUACUUUGGUAUUGGAGGUCUUUGCAGCUUCACACCUGCUCCUCUUUGUUCAUUAGCUGGAUCUCAGUGUUAUGCUUGGUUCCACUCGGCGUGAUAAGUUAUCUAUCGCUGAGGACACUGUAAAAGGUGGCCAAGGUAAAUGCAGAUGAACCGCUUCUAAUAGUCCAUUGACUUGGACAAUACUUUUAUGAUCUGAUCUCAAAUCAGGUAGGACUACCCGCUGAACUUAAGC
rnacentral:misc_RNA from 1 species